CUCUUCUCCUCAUCUCUGCGCUGUGCGAGUUUGGAGCUCCCAGAAGACAUUAAUGAUCUGUGCAAAGAUGAUGAUGGGGACUACCUGGCUGAGCGGGGCAUCGAUGAAGUUUACCAUCUGUGGUGUCUGGCGGGUGGAGACCUGGAGAAGGAGCUGACCAACAAGGAAAUCAUCCAGUCCAAACCUCCCAUCUGCACUCUGCCAAAUUUUGUUGUGGAGGAUGGGGAGUCGUUCGGGCAGGGAAGAGAUCGGAGCUUUUUGCUGGAUGACACCACGGUGACGCUGUCUUUGUGUCAGCUCAGAAAUAGACUUAAGGAUGUAGCUGGUGAGGCUUAUUAUCCCCUUCUUGAAGACGAACAGUCGACUUUGCCCCAAUCCUGCAGCAGCAAUGAGUUGUCGUCCACCGUCACACUGCCACUCAUCAUCCGCGAGAGAGACACGGAGUAUCAGCUCAUCCGCAUCAUCCUCUUUGACAGGCUGCUCAAGGUC